rnacentral:lncRNA from 1 species
GCGACAGAGCGAGACUCCGUCUCAAAAAGAAAAAAAAAGAAAAAAAAGAGGGCAGGAAGAGGAAACAACAGUUGCGGAGCUGGACUUGAUGGAAGGGAGCAUUUGCGUGCGGCGCGCAGGGCACUGAGUCACCAUCGUGGCCGCGUCCUCGCGCUCUCCUAGCGAUUUCUCCGGAGAAAGCGGAGCAAGGUCAGCCGGGCAGCCCUUCAAGGACGGCGCGCCGCUCCUGCAUGCUGAUGGCCUGCGGGGCUGCCUGCCCGUGCCCCGGCGCCCAACUCCUACAAGGAAGAAAUUCAGGGGCUCCCCGCCCCCGCCACAGUCCUCUUCCCCCUCCCCAGCUGCAACUCGGCAGCCGUUCGUCAAAGACCCUGUUGUCACCGAGACACUGGGACCUUGUCUCAUCCUUGGAACCACUCGUAAAUCUUAGGUCAGGCAGCCGGCAGCCUUCGGGGACCACAGUCCCCCCAAAGCUUUAGGAAGCCAGUUACUACAUCCGGAAAGAUUCGUGCUUCAGAACGCAAGCCAGGGAGAAUAAUCACAGAAACGCAAUGCGAAUGUCGUGCCUCUCAGAAAUUCUUAGCCUGAAAUACCGUCCCCACCCCCCAACCCGGCCAGGCGACAGUCCUGUCAUCCUAACACCGCAGAGGCUCCAAGCGCUGGGAGUCGUGUGCCCGCGGCGCUCGCCACUGAGGCCGGUUGGAAGAUUCUAGGGUGCCCCUUCCCAGGUUCCAGCAGGCACUCCGGGAUGUUCUAGAGUCAGGCCAGGGAUUCAACAGCGAACCUGACCGAAACUCAAACCUCAGCACAAGAACUUUGAUGGGGGAAGUGCCCAGACUCCAAUACUCUCGACCUUGGCAUUUAGUAGUUUCUUCUUUGAACUGGAAAGAUCAAAUAAUGCACAGUAAAAUCUCAUGAUAAGGGUUCCACCAAGAAUUCGGGAUUUGUGUUAAUUCAUAAGGCAGAAGUGGCCCCUGUGCUAUCCAUGAAGAGUUUCUGUAUUUCUCUGCAAGGUCACAGGUAUUGAUCUAGGCGCUGCUGUGAAGGGAAUUUGCAGAUGUAAUUGGCCUAAAUCAGUUGGCUUUAAUAUCAGGAAAUUGUCCUCAGUGGGCAUGGCCAUAUGGAGCCCUUACAAGGGACUGGGCUCUUCCUGGUGAAAAAGAUUUGAAUCACGAGAGUGGCUGAUAUGAGGGAAAUUCUUUGCUGUUGCCUUCGAAGACAGAAGAGGUCCACAAGGCAAAGGAUGCAGACAGCCUGUAGGAGCUGAGACUGGCUCCUGGCUGACAGCCAGCAAGGAAAUGAGGACCUCAGUCCUCCAAUCAUGAAGCAGACUCCGACUUCUGCUAACAACCUGAAUACACUUCAAAGAGGAUUCUGAGCUCCAGCCGCCUACACAUUGAUUUCAGCUGUUGGGACCCUCAGCCGAGAACCCAGCUAUGCCGUGCCCAGAUGUAAGACCUACACAUCUGUGAGCUUGAUGCUUCCUGCCCUCAAACAUUGGACUCCCAGUUCUACAGUUUUGAGACUGGGACUGGCUCUCCUUGUUCCUCAAGCUUGCAGACAGCCUAUUGUGGGAUCUUGUGAUCGUACUCUCUGUGGCCCAGGCUGGAGUGCACUGGUGCCAUCUC